UUUUUAACACAUGAGAUGGUAAUAAAUGGGGCAUGCUUUUAACGAAAAAGCUCACAAGUUCAUUUACCUCUGCAGAGAGAGUCUUUCGAUUUGGAAACAUUAUGGAUCUUAUUCACUUUUUGAUACCAAAGGAGUUGUUGUUCCUUUCCUAUCUUUGUAUACAAGUCAACCUGUAAUAAAUUCGAAACCCUUAAAAAGAAAAGCAGAUGCUGCCCUCAGCCCUAAUUAGGGAUGAUUAUUAUUAUUGAUGUGCAUUAUGCCAUAUGCAGAGAGACCUGGUUUAGCAUUACUAUCCUAUUUUGUCAAAUACUUCAUACAUGCUUUUUUGUUCUGGAACAAAGCAUCAUCUCAAAUGCCGUGAUUUUUUUUGUUUGUUUUAUGAUUUUCUAUUAAUAUGAAUAUGUUGUUUUAUAGAGAAAUUAUGAUCCACAGUGAAUUUCAGUUGUAGAGGAUUGUACGUUUAACAAAAAUAAAAUAACAUCUGAGAUGAUUUAUCGUAAAAUGUUACAGUAAAAAUCUGAUCUUUGGGAUGGCUCCACAGUUUCAUUUAUCUUCUAUCCAUCUUCACCUUUUUGUUUAAAUUCCAAAUGCAAUCAAUUCAGAUACUGCUUUGAAUCAUCAAUAAGCCUUUUGAAUCCACAAAUCUAUGUGAGGCCUUCUAAUCAAUUCCUAAAGCUGCACCAAAUCCUCCCAAAUUUUUAAACACAUACUUAAAUUAUUCUCAAUUCAAUACAAAAGUUCCUCAUGACUUGCUAAAAUCUGUCCAUGCAUGGAACUGGACUGAUGUCCAAGAUGUCCAAAUAAAAGGAUACCUUCCAUGUGGUCUAUUUGUGUAUAUUCUAUUCACUUGGCAUCUUCUUGUGUAGAAACUUAAUGCCUAUGGAAUUUGAUUAAUUUCCCCUCUAUUUGCUUCCUUGAUGAAAAUCUGUUGCAUUGGAAAGCAUUGAUAGAAAAGCGUCAUCUAUGUAGCACAGCCCACACUAUGCAGAAUCUGUUUUUUCUCAAUGAAAGCAUCCCAUGUGUGCAUAUUAUUUAAAAAUUGUGUUUUUUUGAAGUCCAUUCAAUAGCCCAUCAACAAAUCUAUUAGUUGUUUCUAUGCUUGUUUCAAA
rnacentral:lncRNA from 1 species